rnacentral:rRNA from 1 species
AGUGAACGCUGGCGGUAGGCCUAACACAUGCAAGUCGAACGGCAGCACCGUAAGAGCUUGCUCUUACGGGUGGCGAGUGGCGGACGGGUGAGGAAUACAUCGGAAUCUACUUUUUCGUGGGGGAUAACGUAGGGAAACUUACGCUAAUACCGCAUACGACCUACGGGUGAAAGCAGGGGAUCUUCGGACCUUGCGCGAUUGAAUGAGCCGAUGUCGGAUUAGCUAGUUGGCGGGGUAAAGGCCCACCAAGGCGACGAUCCGUAGCUGGUCUGAGAGGAUGGUCAGCCACACUGGAACUGAGACACGGUCCAGACUCCUACGGGAGGCGGCAGUGGGGAAUAUUGGACAAUGGGCGCAAGCCUGAUCCAGCCAUACCGCGUGGGUGAAGAAGGCCUUCGGGUUGUAAAGCCCUUUUGUUGGGAAAGAAAAGCAGCAGGUUAAUACCCCGCUGUUCUGACGGUACCCAAAGAAUAAGCACCGGCUAACUUCGUG